UCCCCACGGUGUUGGGGUUACAGGCUUGUCCACAGCUAUACCCAGCUUUUUACAUGAGAAUUUAGGAUUCAAACUCUGGUUCUCAUGCGUUCAUAGAAAGUGCUCCUGCCCACUGAUCCAUCUUUCCUAUCCCACAGGUUUCUUGGGGCUUGUUUAGUGUUGACCCUCUUCCCUAACUCUCAGCAUCCUGAUGGCAGGGACAGAGUCUAAUGGUCUUUGCUAUGCCUAACCUUUCGAGUCACAUAAUGCUGGCAAAGGAAUGGACAACAAAGGCAUCCAGAGGCACAAGAUUUCCUCUCAUGGCAAAUGGUCACUUGGGGAAGACAUGAGAGGGGAGGUUUUAGCCUUGAGUGUAUGCACGACUGGAUGGAAUUUUGGCUCGCUUCCAAGCACCCCAUGGGUAACUAAUUAAACUACAAGUGCUCCCUCCAUAGUCAGGUGCUAAGUGUUCCCAAGAAGGGGCUGAUGUAACGUAGGGAGUGACCUUUAAGUGGAUCAAGAGUCACAUGAAUAUGGAAUGCCUCUCUCCUCUCUCCAGAGAGGUCAUUUGACACAUGUCCUGAGGGGUAGGAUCAUGCUUGAAAGCUUUAGAAAACAGCUCUUUCUAAUUCUCACUGGAGCGGGCACAGCCUUCUGGUGUGUGAUGUGGGUGGAGGAGGAAACCCAGCACUCUGCGGGGUGCAGGAGUUGCCUGGAGCAGCGAUCUUCAGACUUGAAGGUUCCAGCCUGUAUGAUUUAUCGCUUUAUUUUUCUCUCCUUCCUUCGCUUUUACGACAGGCCAAAGGACCACAGGCUGAGACAAAUGGCGACCCUUCGGGCUCACAUUUGGUUUCUAGGGCUGUGGCAGAAUCCACUUCAACCUUUGUUGGAUGAGGAACUAUGUGGCUUCCAUGUGCUUGAUCUCAAUGAGAUCCCCAGCCCAGUGAAAGCGGGCAGUCCCUCUGCUUCCUGGGCGAGCGGAUGGAAAAGGGGCAGCUGGCUGUGGAGCUACCGUGAGUGGGCUGUGGCACGAUAAAUGUUGUCAUCACCGUUGCCUCCGUGGCUGCGCUUGACUGUGCCUUGGAAGAUCUCUUCCUGCCACUGCAGCAGAAUGUCUUAGUCACUGCACUUCUGAGACAGCACAGUUCUCCCUAGAAACAAAAGAAAAGAUGAGAAAUAAAGAAGUAUGAACCCAGAAGGACAAA